GGGUUGUGAGGUUAAGCGACUAAGCGUACACGGUGGAUGCCCUGGCAGUCAGAGGCGAUGAAGGACGUGCUAAUCUGCGAUAAGCGCCGGUAAGGUGAUAUGAACCGUUAUAACCGGCGAUUUCCGAAUGGGGAAACCCAGUGUGACUCGUCACACUAUCAUUAACUGAAUCCAUAGGUUAAUGAGGCGAACCGGGGGAACUGAAACAUCUAAGUACCCCGAGGAAAAGAAAUCAACCGAGAUUCCCCCAGUAGCGGCGAGCGAACGGGGAGGAGCCCAGAGCCUGAAUCAGCAUGUGUGUUAGUGGAAGCGUCUGGAAAGGCGCGCGAUACAGGGUGACAGCCCCGUACACAAAAGCGCAUGUGCUGUGAGCUCGAUGAGUAGGGCGGGACACGUGGUAUCCUGUCUGAAUAUGGGGGGACCAUCCUCCAAGGCUAAAUACUCCUGACUGACCGAUAGUGAACCAGUACCGUGAGGGAAAGGCGAAAAGAACCCCGGCGAGGGGAGUGAAAAAGAACCUGAAACCGUGUACGUACAAGCAGUGGGAGCCCCACCACUAAGCCAGUGGUGAACUCCACAUACGCAUCCUUUGCUGAAGGUGCGGUUAACGGAGCGCAAGCGACGUUCAACCUCAAAAGAAGCAGAGGGGGCUUAGUGGUGGGGUGACUGCGUACCU
rnacentral:rRNA from 1 species